rnacentral:rRNA from 1 species
UACAUGGGGUGCAAACGUUGCUCGGAAUCAUUGGGCGUAAAGCGCGCGUAGGCGGUUGCUUAAGUCGGAUGUGAAAGCCCUCGGCUUAACUGAGGAAGUGCAUCCGAAACUGAGCAGCUAGAGUACGAAAGAGGGUCGCGGAAUUCCCGGUGUAGAGGUGAAAUUCGUAGAUAUCGGGAGGAACACCGGUGGCGAAGGCGACUCUUUGGCCUGUAACUGACACUGAGGCGCGAAAGCGUGGGGAGCAAACAGG